rnacentral:rRNA from 1 species
GACGAACGCUGGCGGCGUGCUUAACACAUGCAAGUCGAACGGAAAGGCCCUGCUUUUGUGGGGUGCUCGAGUGGCGAACGGGUGAGUAACACGUGAGUAACCUGCCCUUGACUUUGGGAUAACUUCAGGAAACUGGGGCUAAUACCGGAUAGGAGCUCCUGCUGCAUGGUGGGGGUUGGAAAGUUUCGGCAGUUGGGGAUGGACUCGCGGCUUAUCAGCUUGUUGGUGGGGUAGUGGCUUACCAAGGCUUUGACGGGUAGCCGGCCUGAGAGGGUGACCGGCCACAUUGGGACUGAGAUACGGCCCAGACUCCUACGGGAGGCAGCAGUGGGGAAUAUUGCACAAUGGGCGGAAGCCUGAUGCAGCAACGCCACGUGCGGGAUGACGGCCUUCGGGUUGUAAACCGCUUUCGCCUGUGACGAAGCGUGAGUGACGGUAAUGGGUAAAGAAGCACCGGCUAACUACGUG